GAUGAACGCUGGCGGCGUGCCUAAUACAUGCAAGUCGAGCGAACGGACGAGAAUCUUGCUUUUCUGAUGUUAGCGGCGGACGGGUGAGUAACACGUGGAUAACCUACCUAUAAGACUGGGAUAACUUCGGGAAACCGGAGCUAAUACCGGAUAAUAUUUUGAACCGCAUGGUUCAAAAGUGAAAGACGGUCUUGCUGUCACUUAUAGAUGUAUCCGCGCUGCAUUAGCUAGUUGGUAAGGUAACGGCUUACCAAGGCAACGAUGCAUAGCCGACCUGAGAGGGUGAUCGGCCACACUGGAACUGAGACACGGUCCAGACUCCUACGGGAGGCAGCAGUAGGGAAUCUUCCGCAAUGGGCGAAAGCCUGACGGAGCAACGCCGCGUGAGUGAUGAAGGUCUUCGGAUCGUAAAACUCUGUUAUUAGGGAAGAACAUAUGUGUAAGUAACUGUGCACAUCUUGACGUUACCUAAUCAGAAAGCCACGGCUAACUACGUG
rnacentral:rRNA from 1 species